rnacentral:lncRNA from 1 species
AAUAAUUUAUUUACAUAAUAUAACCGAAGGAUAAUGGAGUUCAUAAAUAUAGAAACUAAAACAAAAAAGGUCAUCCUACAUUCACUUUUUACAGCUCAAAGCAAUAAACUGUUCAUUAAUUGGUCUCGCUUAUAUAAAAAAAUUGGAAAAGAGUUUGCCCUAGCUAUUCUCUCCCAGGCCCGACGCCCGAGGUAGCCGCUCUUCCAAGCCAAGAUGUUCUGCUUCCACUGGCGAGUGUCCUCCGUUUGCUUCUUCGCCUGAGCGAUUCUUCUCUCGACUUUCUCGGGUCCGUCCAAAGAUUUCCGAAGAACCGUUUCAACUUCCGCCGGUUAAUCUGCUUCGCCGGCGAGAUCUUUCACGCCUCCUCUGAUAUCGCUCUGUUCAACUCAUCGCUCCAUGGCGUAUUGCACGUUUUCGAAUUCUGCUCUCUGGUUUCAUCCUUCCACUGCGACAUCUCAGGAAACUUUGCUCAAGCCUCUCCUUAACCUCCGAUUGUGGAUUAUGCCGGAGCCACCAAACCCUCUCCACCCGCCGGAGCCACCAGAUCCACCGGAUCCGCCGGAUUUAUCGCAAUCUCCGUCCACCUCUUUGUUUCCUUGCAUCUCUCUCCUUUCUCCUCUGUCGUCCGCAAGUUUCCUUUCACUUUCGGAGAUCAGUUGUUCUCCCUCCUCCUCUACCGUAGUUUGUCCCGCCGGUCAGCCAUGUGUAUCCGGCGACGUUCUCCUCCACCGUUCAGCUAAACGUGAUUCCAAGACAAUGGAGAUGGGCCCAUCGCUUUCCUCCAGUUUAGUGGGCCUAGUGAGCUCAGUCUUAUUUGUUGGCCUGUUUCUCAGCCCAAUUGACUCCAAUUUGGUUGUUUGCCUCACCAAGGCUUCUUUUGGCAACCUUCCCGGUGUUUCUACUGAUGUACCUUCCUCCGCUAUGGAGAGACCUUCCUCCGUUAUGGAGAGACCUUCCUCCGCUAUGGAGAGAUCAUUUUCACAUAUUUCUUCCUUCUUGGAGAAAUCAUGUCCUUCUUCCUUCUCUUUCGAGAAGAGACCCAUUUCAUCUAUCCUCUCCGAUAUGGAGAGUGUAUCUAAAAGCUCAGCCUUGAUGGCAUUUAGAGCUCAAGUUGUUCACUCGCCUCUUUUGGCAACAGAACCAGCAUCAUCCUCGGAUAUCUUACAAGACCGAGUGUUGACGAUCGACUUCAAACCGAUCAUUCUCGAAGCCCCCGCAAUGGAGUUUCCGAUUAUUUUCCACGGAUCUAACCUUCUAUCGUUUCGUUUUCAAGCUUUGUUUUCAAUUGUAUCUCAUUUUCAAGCAUUGGACAAAACUUCUCUUUGGCAAAGAGUCUCCAACUUUGUUUGUUUGUUGUAAUCAAAGUUAGAUUAAUAUAAUUCCGUUGACAAAAAUAAUUGGUCUCGCUUAGGUACUCGGUUUGGUAGAAUGACAAGGACCUUUUCCAGUUUUCAUGUAUUCCCAAAUCCAAGUGACAUCGGCAAUUCUCAUAAGAAUUUCAUCAGCAUUAUGGAGAGUCGCGACCAUCAUCUUAAACCCACUAUCCUUCAAUUCAGCGAUUGUUGGCCAAAAGUCUUGGUUUACUUUCUAUCUCUGUAUAAGUCUACAUAUUUGUAAUAUUUAUUAAUAUUAAACAAAAGAUAUAUUUUCAACUUCAACAAUUUAUGAUUCUCCAUUUUCCGGUUAAAUAUUUUACCAUUUCAUGUUUUUUUUUCUUCCGGUUAAAUAUAUAUUCGUCAACAUAUCAUUUCAUAUUCCUUUUCAUUCUAAAUUUUUUGUUCAAUAUAUAUGAUUAAAUUAUUUCCUAGCUAGUGUUGUCAGUUGAAACCUAUAUUUUUAUAUCUCAGUUUAGUAGUGAUCAUGACACAGUAUUAUGAACACUAGAGUCCAACGACAAAGGUAGAAUCCAACUAAAAAUGAAAAUCGAUGAAGACAAUUUUAGUUUAAUAUAUAGAAGCAUAUAUGUAUACGUCGCAUAUAAAACAAUACACUCCAACGAACUCAGUGUAAUAUAGUUUGUUGAAAAGUAGAAAGAACAUAACUUCUUGUCAUUCUAAUAAAUAUAGUGUAGGGAUACAUACAAGUAGACAAUGACUACGUACAAGUAGUUAUAGUUUGAUCAAGAGAUGAUAUGUGGUUCAUAUUUUUUUUUUGGAAUCUGAAUUGAUGGUGCCAUUGAUAUUUUUUUCAAUAAAUCUGAUUGUAGAUUCUACUUUCCUCACAAUUUAAUUUGUUUGUUUGCAUUCAGCAAUUCAUUCGUUCGGUAGUGGUAGAUUGGUAUAGCUUUUUUAUUUUUUCGAUUUUUAGACCAUUUAUAACUUCUGUUUUUAUUGCGUCCAUAUAUAUUACAAGUGGACUAUUAUUACCCAUACGGAUUUCAGUUAUCCACACAAGAAUAAAAGAAUGAAAAGAAUGACGUAUAUAGUUUAUACAUCACUACAUAAACUAGGUAUUUCCAUAAAGACGACAGAACUUGAUAAGUUGAUUUGUCUCAAGGCAAUAUAUGCAUUGCACAUGCAAUGUAUUGUUGAUAGUAACAUGUAUAUUAUACCUAUUUAGACGGUGGGAUUUUAUAGACCACUCUCUUCUGCGACCGAUGUUGACUUGUACCUUUGUUGUUUUAAUAUACUUAACAUUUUUGAAGUACAAAUUUGCUCAAAACCAAUCGGAUCGGGUAAUUAGUGAGAUUUUGACCUGGAAUUUUUUUUUGACCCGAUUCAAUAGCCAAUCAAAACUCUCGAAUUCUUUUAAAUGAGACUUUCCAAAAAAAAAAUCAAGUAAUUCGACUAAAUAUUCGCUUAGUUACAUUCCUAAUCUACCAAAUCCUAACAAUGUCUCAAUGAUCCGCAUUAAACGUUAGACCUAUAGUUAUGAGACUUUCCUAAAAGAAUUCCUAAAAUGAUUGAUUUAGUAGUUAUAACAAACAUAUAAUUCCGGUGUAAAUCGUUUCCUAUUUAGGUGCUAAUGAGUUUAGUGCAAAUUCUAUUUCUUUCCUAAAUAAAAUGAACAAUAAAAAUGAGGAUAUUGCCUUAGAUUUAUGCAAAACAUGUGAUUAAUGAUUUAAAGAUUACACGAUAAAUGCAAAUCCUAUGAAAUCCUUAAUUUUGGUAUCUAUUUAAAACCAUAUUCUCUCUACAUAUUCGAUCAAACAAGAUUUUCUAAACAAAAUUAUCUACAAUCUUCCAUCAUAUUCAAUCGAAUAUAUAUUGUUACUUCACAAAAUUGUAAUCUUUCCUUAAAACUUUUGUUAUAUUCAUUGUGAUUAAGCUAAAAAUCCAUUUUUAGUUUCCCGUAUCUUAGUUAUUUACUUGCUCUCAAAGAAUUUUCUCAAAUUGACUUGACCAACCCUAGACAUCUAAGUUCUCUAUAAAUAUCGCUAUUCAGUCGAUUUUCUACAUCAUCAAGCAAUUACCUCAUUUCUUCAUAUUCUCCUUCAUUCAUCAAAUCUAGCAAUGGCGGCUUCCUUUGUAUUUCUCAGAGAUGUGAAACCCUACAAGAUAACAUGGCAACCUGAAGUGAGGGUCCUUCAUACCUGAAAAUCAUACACAGGAAGAUUUGGUGAGACGUUGGACAUGGUGUUGGCUGAUAUGCAAGUAAGAUGCCAAAAUUGAGUCUAUAGUAUGAUUACUCUUUUUAAGACAUUAUCUGCAAAUGCUCACAAUUUUUUUUUACAGAGUGAACGAUUCUUGCUUCAGUGAGAAAGAAACAUGUUAAUCGCUUUGAAAAGCUGAUAACCCGAGGAGAAUACAGAAGCAUUGAAAACUUUGGAUGAAGUUGUGAAAGUGGACAACAUUUCUGCCAAUCUAUUGAAACGUGAAAGUAAGUCUUUAAUUUAUACAUUGAAUUGAAUCAUCAACCUAAGAGACCAUAAACUAAAACAAAAUUCACUAUAUUUGAACCAUUUAACAAUAUUUCGUCUGAUUCUUACAAUUUUCACAUGCCUUUAAUUGCAACAUCAUUACUUGAGUCUAAUUACCAAACUAAGAGGCUAAGAGAUCAUAAAAUACGAAUAAACUAUUCAAAAUUCAAUUCUAGAAACAAAAUUUUAUAUAUACUCAGAGAGACUAAAUUACCUAUGUUGGAGUUUCUUUAAGAACUGAAUAACAGUUGGUAGUGUUCAAUUCAACAGUUUUGUCGUUUUUUUUAUCAGAUUUCAAGGCCGGUGGAUCAAGGGCGAGCCCGAGGAAGAAGACGCAGACGAUUAGAAGGCAGAUGCUCAAAACACAUCAAAUCGAAUCGAAUCCUCAUGUUGAAGACGAACCCUCUUCUGAGAUUUCAAAGCUUAUCUUCUUUUUUUCUCAAUAGAGAGAGAAAGAGAGAGAGAGAGAGGGAGAGAGAGAGAGAGAGACACACACAAAGAUGACGAGAAGAUCCACAUGACACGACAACGCAAACACACUCUUUGAACUCCUUUCGUGUACAUAAUGGGUUUUGUUUAUCAUUUCAUUUAAAGGCCUUAGGCCAUCUACAAUGGAGCAACUGAUCUUAAAGUUAUUAUAAUAAUAUUAUAUAUAUAUAAUGAUAUUACAUGAGGGGGUAAGAGAGAGACAAUCCAACUCAAGAUGAGAUCUUGCUCAAAUGCUCUACUGUUGGAGUUUUUUCUAUUUUUUUAUUACUCAAGAUCACCCCAGCAGUUGUGCCACUGAAUAUGGCCUUAUGGGCUAUCUACACUACAAUGAUAUAUUUAAGCUUAACCAAAAUUUUAAGAGAUUAUAUGAAUAUUUAAAAUUUUAAAAUAAUACUGAACGAGGUGCAUUACGAGACGGAAGAGUAUACGACAGGUGAAAUCCUAAAAUUAACGGGACAAUAUACCAAGGGUGAAAUCCUAAAAUUAACAAAUCAAAAUACAAUUAUUUAGUAUUUUAAGAUACAAUUAUAAUUGUUUUUACGGCUUGGUCCAAAAACAUACACUAAUUUAUAUAUAUUAUGGAAACUAUUUGAAAGCAAACUUUUAAAUUGAUUUGAAUUAUAUGUCUUUUAAAUAAGAAUAUUAUUAAAAAUAACAAAAUAAUGUUUAAUUUCACAUGAUGGGAUUAUAUGGUGGGACGGGUUUGGAUCGAUAUUAUUAUGGGAUAAUAUACCACGGGUGAAAUCUUAGAUUAACAAAUAAAAAUACAAUUAUACAAUCUUAAACACUAAACAAAAAAAAUACAACUUAAAAUUUUCAUUUUUUAGUUACAACGCAUGUGAUUCACGGUGUACAACAAAAAAUAUUAUACACAACAAAUUCAUCGAUUUAUAAAACGAUAAAAAAUCAAAUAAUUAACCCGCGGUGUACCGCGGGUCAUAUCCUAGUAAAAUCUAUAUUUCUCAUAACUAUAUGUCUAUAUAUAUUUCUCGCUCACCAAAAUAUAUAUAUAUACCAUUCCAAUACCAAUUAGCAAGAGAAAAAAAGAAGAAGAUUAUAAUUGGAGUAAUUUUAUGUUGAUCCGGUAAGUGACCAUGAAAAAAGAAGUUUUCAUAUAUAUGAUGGAACAACCGCACGUGUGGGUCGCCGUCUGGUAUUUCGAACUUUACAAGUAAGUUGACAAGAUUCACACGUGUGAAUGAUAGUAUACGUGUCAUCAGGUGGUUCCCGAAGCUAAGCUUCUGAUUGUCACAGAGACUUUCGACUACGCUGACUUCUCUUCACCUUUCACCAAACUGUCGGCGGCGAUUCUUAGUUUGGGAUUUGUUUAUUUGAAGUACUUUGGAUUUGGUUAUUGAACAUAUUUAAAUAAUAAUUAAAUUACAAUAUAAAUGGAAAAACUAGCUGUUAUAUCUGUACGUUGGCUUACAAAAAGAGACACACAAAUCUUUUAAAUUAUUAUUUUUUCUUACUAGCUUUUUAUAAAAAAUAAAAGAAUUGCUUGUUUUAGUAGCUUCUUUCCACCUUCCAUAUGACUCCAAAACUCGAUGUCGUUUCUCUUUUUCCACAAAAUUCCAUUUGAAAAUUCUUCCAGUUGUAUAUCUAUAAAACUAUAGGUAUGUAUUAAAUAUUUGUUGCGUCUAAUUUAUCUCCGUGUUUCAGAGAUUUGUACUUGUUUGUUUGUGUAUUUUGUGAUAUUGCAACUAUUUCGGACAAUGUAAAAACUGUACAAUUCAAUUCAUCACUAUAAAUAUUUGAUCUCCUAAAUGCAUGUACACCUACUUAAAGCGAUGAAUAAUUUUCUAAAUAAGCAAUAUGAUUGAUAAAAAUUAAAGAUACAAAAAGAGGCAUAUAACCUUUUAUGAUUGUAUAUGCUUUGAAACCGGGAUUUUUCGAAUCAAUACAAUCAUUUAGUUUUUAUACAAUUAAACUGAAAUAAUAUGAUUUAGAUGCAAUAAUUAAUUCCAAAUCUUAAAACAUCAUUUCCUCGUACACUUGUAAAUCUUGUUCAACAAGGAUUACUGAGAUCCGAUUCUGAAAUAUUGAUCAUACCUAAUAAUCAAAACAUUGACCUACCGUACAAAUGAAACUGUAUUUAAAUUGUUACUACAUGAUACAUAACUAUUAUUAUACGAUAUAAUACACACGAAGGUUAGUAAAAUUAACAUACAUUUAAAUAAACGAAACGAAGAGGAAGGUACACCUAAGCGUUACAUUACAAGGCUUAUAUAUAAAACCUCAACAAAACCUCUCCCUUUCACUUCAUCACUUCAAAUCCUCUCUUCCUCUCGUUGAUCAAACUUUGUUAUUUUUCCGACGAAACAAUAAGAAAAACAUCAAUGGCGGUUUCGAAUUCUUUAACAAUCUCUCCGAGGAAACUCCGGUCUGAUCUCUACUCAUACUCAUACCAAAACAAUUCCGAGACACCUCUGGUUAUCUCUGUUUUAUCGUCACUGAUCGAUCGAACUCUGACUCGAAACGAGAGGAUUAGCAGGAGAGCUUUGCCUUCCUCCGGCGCCGGUGGCAAAACUCAGAUCUUUGAUUGCCGUGAAAUCCCUGAUAUGACAAUCCAAUCGUACCUAGAGAGAAUUUUCCGGUACACUAAAGCCGGUCCUUCGGUUUACGUGGUAGCUUAUGUCUACAUUGACCGGUUCUGUCAAACCAAUCCUAGUUUUAGAAUCAGUCUCACCAAUGUACAUCGUCUCCUCAUCACCACCAUCAUGAUCGCUUCUAAAUACGUCGAAGAUUUGUAAGUAUCCAAUAAAAAUAUUUCCUUAAAAACUUGAAUUAUGUUUAAUUAGAUUUUUUUUUUCUGAAUUGGUUUCUCUCUUUGUUUUUCAGGAAUUACAGGAAUUCAUAUUUUGCGAAAGUAGGUGGAUUAGAGACAGAGGAUUUGAAUAAGUUAGAGUUAGAGUUUCUGUUCUUGAUGGGAUUCAAGCUACAUGUUAAUGUGACUGUGUUCGAGAGUUAUUGUUGUCAUCUUGAAAGAGAGGUUAGCAUUGGAGGAGGUUAUCAAAUCGAAAAGGCAUUGCGUUGCGCUGAGGAAAUCAAAUCCAAACAAAUGAUCGUUCAAGAUCCUAAACAUCAUCAUCAUUUUGCUCGAAUCUUGUUGUAGAGAUAACAAACUCUGUUUUUUUUUAUUAGUCUUAGUUUUUUCUUUUGUCGUUUGUGCCUUGUGGUCUUGACUUUCGGACAAACUUGUUGGUUAGAGUUUCUUUUGUUUUUAUUUUAUUUGGUAGGUUGUAAAUGUAGAUAUAGAUGCGUAGAGGUGAACGGUGAUGUAUAAAGUAUGAGAUUCAUUGUCAAUUGAAUUUUUGUAACAUGGUUCAAAUCUAUGUCAUUGCAUUCAUCUAAAUCAGCAUAUACUGAUUUCAGGUAUCCAAAGGCGAUUAGUACUGUCGUAUUGUCAUAUACAAAUGUACAUGCAAAAUGUAGAAAACUUAACUUCUUGAUUAAUGACCAAAUAUAUAUAUAUAUUUUUUUUUCUUUCAAAAUUUUGAAAAUGAAAAUCUAAACAUUUUAAAUUUGCUCAUUUUAUACAAUACAAGAAAAUAAUUAUAUAUGUUAGACAACAACAAGUAUAUACCUGCAUGUUUCUUAAAUUUGCACCCAAGAUAUGUAUGUAUAUGAAUGCUAAAAGAUAGGAUUUCUGUGCUGAUUUGGUGUCUAAUAAUUGAUUAAACGGUGGCUUACAAACAUGCAUUAUUACCAAUAGUUUUUAAAUUCUUUAACAAAGAUGUCUUAUACUUUCUCUGUCUAUUAUAGGCGCACCUACUUUUCUUGUUCUAAAAUAUAUCAAUAUAGUUUCAGAUUAAUUGAAUCUUUCUCAUUUUUUUGGAUGUAGGAAACCAUGAUCGUGUCUAGUUUCCCAUAUAGUCUUCGACUUUCAAAGUGGUAAAAGAAAUUCAUCAUCAACAUAUUUUUUUUCUAGAAACCGAAAAACAGUAGAAAAUAUUUAUAUCUAAAUUAAUCAACCCUAAUUAUGACAUUUGAAUAAGACUAGAAAAUGUGUUCUAUAUUAUUUCAUAAUCCAAUACAAAAAGAACAGUGUAGUGUGGUUCACGAGGAUUUACCUAACCAAAGGCAUCGAUCAAUCAUUUGGCUUAAUCUUUCAUGCCAAAUAUUUAAAAGAAUAAGAUUAGGAUCAAUGUGUUGAUAAGAUGUCUAAUAAUUGCCUCACCAAAGGUAUACACACUAAUUGGCAUACCUUUUUUUAAUCUAUAUAAACCUUGAAUUUGUCUCUAUUCGGUAUUUAAUUAUAUUGGUUUAUCUCAUACAAUAAUGCUAAUAAAUUUUAACAAAGGUUCAAACUUCCACAAUUGAUCGCACAAUCAUUGUAUAUUUUAGGAGAACUGUUUUUUUUUUAUUUAAUAUGAAAAAACAUAACUAGCUUCUUAUUUUCUAGCAGUUAUCAUUUUGGUUAGUUGUCCUGUUAGUUGAUUUUGUUUAACAAAAUAACUCAGGUGGAUUAUAGGAUGGAUUUCAGUGGUUGGAUCUAUGUUUCUUAAAUUAAAAAAAAAAAAGUUUAUUGGUUGGAUCUGCAAUGAUGGGCUUACGGGCUAUAGUUAACCGCGCGAACGAUUAGGUGAUGAUAUUCUAUGUUUUUGUUGAAGUUGUUGGAUAGUAAUCAAUACAAUAAUAACUCUUGAAUCUCUCCAAAGGUUGACACCUCAGCUUUUUUAAACAUUAUGGUGUUGACACCUCAGUUAAAAUGAAUGACCAAUGAAAACAUUCUAAAUAAUACAACUCAUUUUUCAUAUCCAAUAAUAAUCUUUCAUUUUUCCACAUUAUUCUCUUAUAUAGAAAUAUCAAAAUGAGCCUAAACUCAUGGGCUUAACCCAGUCCGGUCCGGUUAUGAACACAAAAUAUCCAAUAAGAACCUUUCAUUUUUCCACAUUAUUCUCUUAUAUAGAAAUAUCAAAAUGGGCCUAAACUCAUGGGCUUAACCCAGUCCGGUCCGGUUAUGAACACAAAAUAUUAAAUCCGUUAAAAAAAGGAUCUUGCGGGCAAUCCUACACGGAUUACGGAUUUUAGAAAGUUAUGCCCGAAGAUUGACAGAUUGGCCCGCGCUACAUAUAUAUAUAAAAAAAUUAAUAUAUCAUAUAUAGAAUUAAAUAUUUUAUAUAUUUUUGUAAAUAUAAUAUGUCAAGAAUAUGUGAUAAUAUAAAAUUUAAAUUAUAAAAUUAUUAUAUUUACAAAAAGAUAGUAUUAAAAGUUUUUUACUGGUGUUUACACAUUAGCUUUUCAAGCUAUUCUCAAACUAACACAUCAUUAAAACUGAUACAUAAUCAAAAUAUAAGUACUAAACAAAAUUGAACAUGGUAAUUAAUUCAGCAUCUCUAACUAAUACGAUCUCUGAAAAUUCUAAUUAUUAAUUCUUUAAAGUUGCAAAAGAUAUAAAAUAAUUAGUAAAAUUUAAUAUUUAUAAAAUUUACUAUAUUUAGAGUGCACAUGGUAAUGAUACUUUUUGUAAUAAUUGGUUCCGAAUAGUAUAAAAGUAAACAAUCAAGUUCUAAAAUUUUAUUUAAUUAUAUCAAAUCACUAAAUAAAAAAUUCAAAAAAUACCUUUGCUACGAAGAUAAAUUAUUAACUGAAAAAUAUACUAGAAUUUUACUUUUGAAACAUCACCUUUUCAUUAGAUAUUAACGUUGGCAAUAGAGACUAUAAUUAUAAUUACAAAGUCUAAUUACAUAAAUAAAAAACUAAUCCCUAGAAGUAAAUUUUUUUACAAUUUAAGUAAAGAUAAAACAUUAAAUUAUAAACACUAGGUUUCUCUCCAGUGCUGACACCUCAGCUUUUUGGAGUGUUCUGGACAUGACACAUCAUUAAAAUCAUCAUCCAAUAAAAAUAUUUGGAUUAAUACACAUCAUAUUUUUUGGCCAAUAAUCAUCCCUUCUGCUUUUAUUAAUAUUGUCUCAUUUGUUCUUGGGCUCUAACAUAUGGGCUUAAUGUUUUAGAAUAGGAUUGUUGGACUUCAAUUUAGGGUUUGAUUGGUUCUCCCGCCUAGCGGUUGUUAGCGGUUGGUUGCGGUUGUUAGCGGUUGGUACCAAUCAUAGAAACUGUUCCAUGCCACUUUGAAGAGUUCGAAAUCGCUGGAUUUUAAAAGCUCAUUUCCGCAAGCGUUUGCGGUUGCGGACGGUGCGGUUGGUUUAAAAAAAGGAAAGAAACUGAAAAAGAAAAAUGAACAAAUUUAAAUAUAUAUUAUCAAGUCUUAUAUAUAUUCAAGUUAAUUCUAAAAAAAAAAUUAUCUAACUUUAAUUUUCCAAUAUUAAUAAUUAUUUUUGUUUUCAAUAUAAAAUUUAUUUGAAUAAUUAUUUAUGGUUUUUAAUCAUUAAUCAUGUUUAAAAUUUUUAUAUUUUUUCAUAAUUAUAGUUUUUGGUGUUUUUAUACUUUUUAUAAUCAUAUACUAAAUUUAUUUUGGUAAAUUUUGGUUUAACCGCUAUUGUACCCGCUGAUCAACCAGUCGUAAAUCUCCCGCAAACGUAUUCGUUUUUAACCGCUAAACCAGUCGGUCAAAAUGCUAAAUAAUGCUUGAAACCGCAAUCGUCCGUUUCCGCAAACUCCCACAACCGCAACCGCUACGUUUAAACCAGUCAAGCCCUUACUUGUAAUGUUUACCCUUUGGAUAAAAUUGGAUACAAAUCGAAUUAGUUAAGAACUAUUGCAAUAAAAUAUUAUAAGAUUUAUUAAGCGUUAUCAUAGAUCUUAAUGAAUAACUAAAAAUCAUUUGAGUAACGUUCUAUACUCCUAUAACAAACAAACAAACAAAUCUCUUAGCCUUUUACGUCUCUUCAACAUAUAAAUCAAGUAUGCAUAUGGAACAUUAAAAUCAAAGAUGAUCAUUCCAUAUAACAUAUUUUCAAGUAUCUAAGUCAUGAGUUCUAUACAGCUAUGGCAUGUCCAUAUAUAUAUAAGUCCGAUCGAAUCAAAUAUCAUAACUUUUGUCAAAAAAUAAAAGCUCAACGAUUUCAUCGACGAUAUAUUCAAAUCGGAGAAAACAAAAACGGAAACUUGAGAAAAAAAUAAGAGGAAAGAAAGAUAUUUACUUGUGGGCACUGAAUUCAGAUUCCAAUUACAUCAAUCGCUGAGAAAAAGACGUAGGAGAUUUAGAGUUCGAUUGCGGAACACCGCCAUAGCUCCCCCGCACUCCGGUGAUAGAAACUCUUUUAGACAUACAGUGAAACAAUCGUCUCUUAUUGGCUGUCAUUAGUGAAAGUCUUUCAGAUAUGAAAGCAAAGGUCUUUCUUUUUUUUCCUCUCCGUUUAACUGUUUAUCUAAUCUAUCUCUCUCUUUUGUUCAUCUGUUUUUCCAGAAAAAAAUGAUCGUUUUCAGACUUUUUCAGGAUACAAAUUUUAUCUGAAUACUAAAAUUGAUUUACGGUUUGGUCUCAGUUUAACAUUCAAAUUUGAUUUGGUUCUUUUUUUGCCUUCAAAUUAUUUAAUUAUUAAAUAUUUAAUUAAAAUCAUUUCUCCGAUUUAAAUUUCUUCAAUAUUCAAAAAAAUCAUUUAAAAAUAUCCCGCGGCGGAGCGCGGAUUUCAACAUAGUAAUAAUAGAAGUUGUUGGAGUAUAAUUUUGUAUGGGUUUAAAAUAAUCUACAAGAUUUCAGAUGAGUUGAUGAUGUUUAAGUUAUUGGAUAGUAAUAAUUGAUGGUCAAAUUAAAAGCGUUCUCAGCCCACUUUACUCAGCUUAAAUAUUAUUGGGCCAAAGAGACCCAAACAAACCCUUGUCUCAACCUUUACGGGUUUUAAUUAUCCGCGCAAACUGAUUAUUAUAUUUUUAAAUCAUGAUAGAAGUAUAGAACUGGUCAAUUGUAAAACCUUACGAACAUAGAAACAAGACAAAAACCCUAGUCUUCGUUUCUCUCUCGAGACAGCCGCCAGUGGAAAAAAAAAAAAGUUCUAGAAUCUGAGGCUGGAUUGCGGUGGCUCUCCUAGCACCGGAUCCGGCCUCCUCGCCCCUGUUAUAGUUUUGCUUUUGUUUCUCGUUUUAUGUUUGGUGAGGCUGUGAUUGAAGAUCCGAGAAGGCGAGAUGGGUUUCUAGGUUGCGGUGGUUCAUUUUUGAUGAAGCUUCUGGCUUAAGGUUGGGUUGAGUGGUGCUAUGAAUUGGCGGUUCCUCUCCUCGUCACGACAUGGCCUUCGAUUUUAGUCUCUUCUCAUAUCUGAUUUUCUCGAGAACAAAAUCUGUUUUGUGGAGGAGCUACCGGUGCUUAUCGAGGUGGUGUUUUUGGAGAGGCAUGUUUCUCGUUUCUGGAAGUGGUGGCGGAUGGAUCUGCUUUAAGAGUUGGUGUGGUGGUCUCUUGCGGAUGUUAGGUUGUGGCUUUGUCUGUUGUUGGCCGCCGCCGGUGGUUGCGAGGUGACAGAGACUUUUCGUUUCUGUUCCUUGUCGGGUUGAAACUCAUAUUGCCUUUCUCUUAUCGGAUGGUUUUAGCUGUUUGUUUGUGUUAGCUUCUGGUAGUUGUUGGUUUAGUCUUUGGAAUUGCUGGGUCAUGGUUUUGCUCUUUGUUAUAUCUAGAAAGCUCCGGGGAUUGGUCGUGUUGGCUAGUUGUGGAUAGCUUUCGCAUUAUCUCUUCUUUGUUCUUUGUUCGUUGAAUCUUCUAAGUGUGUCUCCUUCCACCGCCUCUAGUUUAGAUUAAUAAGUAGGUUUUCUCUCGUGGUCUGUUCCUUUUCUGUUCUUGUAAGGCUAACCUCUUGUGGGGAUGCAAAGUUCUAGAUUUAGACUUGUUCGUUAGAAGACUAGGUGGUUAGGUAUUAGAUUCGCGGCGUUUUCAUAUGUUUGGGAUAAUCGUUUUUAGUUGGGAUAUGUCUUCGCGGUUUCCACUAUCCCUGGUCCUUCUCCAUUUGCGGUGGUAGGUCCUCUAGCUUGCGACCUUUGAGCUCUUAUUUCCGCGGUUUCUGUUCUCCUCCGACUUUUUCGAUGAUUUCGAGAGCUUCACUUCUUGACUUUAGUAUAUUUUCUUAUGUUUCCCGUGUAUCGGGCUUUAGCUUCCGGGGAUUUCUUUGUUUUCCGCCGGUAUUGUAUUUCGAAAACGCAUCCCAAAAACGUAUUCCACCCAUGUAUUCCACUCUUGUAUUAUAUAAUGAAAAUCUUUCAGUGAAAAAAAAAAAAAAAAGUAUAGAACUGGUGGAAACUAAGAUGUUGUACGAUCCAACACUAUCUUGUUGGACACGCGUCAUAUCAAGAGUAUGUAGCAGGUGUUUAAUCAGAUCAAGUUAUUAGGACCAGUUGAGCUUAGAUUUUGGGAAUGGAUUUUUAAUUUCUUUAAAAAAGAAAAAAGAAAAAAAUGUUAUGAAAAUCAAAUUAAACAAAUAUUCCACUAAGAAAUCAAUGGUGUAAAAUCACCAACACUUCCUACUUAUAAAUAGAUGGUGUAAAACAUUUAUGUGGAGACCACCAUCACUAAACAUCUCUAUAUUUCUUCUCUAUAUAUACCAUCAAAUUCAUUGUAAAAUGUACACCAAAAAAGAUAACAACAAAAUCAAUGCAAAAACUCUCUCUAUUUUCUACUUCUCUCUUAUAUUGAUACUUAUUUUUUAAGUUAUAAAAUCAUUCGAAAUGUAUAUUAGAAAAGCUAGCAGCUUUAUCCUCCGGAAUAUACUCCACAAAAAUAAAUAUGAUUGAAUCAUAUAUUACUGUAAACCAGAAGUUUACAAAUACGUUCAAAAUCUGGCAUGAACGUUUAGGGCAUCCAGGUUCAGUCAUGAUGCGUAAAAUUGUGGAAAAUUCAAAUGGCCAUCCAUUGAAAAACCAGAAGAUUUUUCAAUCAAAAGAAUUUUCAUGUAAUGCUUGUUCUCAAGGAAAGCUAAUAACUCGGCCAUCACCAGCGAAAAUUGGGAAUGAAUCUCCACCAUUCUUAGAAAGAAUACAUGGUGAUAUAUGUGGACCUAUUCACCUCUAGUGCGGGCCAUUUCGAUAUUUUAUGGUAUUAAUUGACGCAUCCAGCAGAUGGUCACAUGUGUGUUUAUUAAGCAUACGAAAUUCGGCUUUCGCGAAAUUCAUUACCCAAAUAAUCAGGUUGAGAGCACAAUUCCCUGAUUAUACAAUAAAGAAAGUAAGACUUGAUAAUGCUGGUGAGUUUACUUCACAAGUUUUCAAUGAUUAUUGCAUGUCAUUAGGAAUUGAUGUUGAACAUCCGGUCCCUCAUGUUCAUACACAAAAUGGCAUGGCUGAGUCCUUGAUUAAACGGCACAAAAUGGCAUGGCUGAGUCCUUGGUUGAACAUCCGGUCCCUCAACUUAUUGCUAGACCGUUAAUAAUGAGAACAAGGCUCCCAAUUUCGGUAUGGGGUCAUGCAAUCUUGCAUGCUGCUGCACUAAUUCAAAUACGGCCAAGUGCAUAUCAUAAAUACUCCCCAUUACAAUUAGGUUCUGGCCAGAAGCCAGAUAUAUCCCAUCUCCGCGUUUUUGGAUAUGCGGUUUAUGUACCUAUAGCUCCACCACAAAGAACAAAAAUGGGACCACAAAGGAGAUUGAGAAUAUAUGUCGGGUUUACAUCACCAAGUAUAAUUCGGUAUCUUAAACCGCAAACUGGUGAUAUGUUUACGGCACGUUUUGCUGAUUGCCAUUUUAAUGAGGGUGAAUUCCCAGCAUUAGGGGGAGGAAUUAAUGAAAUUCCAAAAGAUAUUACAUGGUGCACACCAUCUUUAUUGCACCUUGAUCCCCCUACGAAACAACGUGAACUGGAAGUUCAGAAAAUUGUAUAUUUACAAAAUUUAGCAAAUCAACUACCAGAUGCAUUCACUGAUACAAGAAGGGUGACAAAAUCUUAUAUACCCGCUGCGAAUGUUCCAUCUAGAAUUGAUGUUCCCGAAGAACAAACUGAUGGAAAAAUAAAUGAACCUAAAGUUCAGUUGAAAAGGGGGAGACCAAUGGGCUCAAAAGAUAAAAAUCCCCGUAAGAAAAAGAAAUUGGGAGAAGUAAAUGAGAAGAUUCCUGAAGAGUUGGAUACAGAGAAAAGUCCUGAAGACGGAAAAAGUCUUGAAGACGAAAAUAAUAAAGAAAACCAUGAGAUCAACUAUACCCAAAAUAGAAAAAUAUGGGUUAAAAAUGAGAUAGAUGAUGAUGAUGGAAUUUUCUCAUUCUAUGUAUCUUGCAAAUUGUACUAGACCAGAUAUUGCUUUUGCUACUAAUUUGCUUGCAAGGUACAAUUCAUCCUCUACUCGAAGGCAUUGGAAUGGGAUAAAACACAUCUUCCGCUAUCUUCAAGGUACAAUUGAUUUGGGAUUAUAUUAUUCUAGAAACUCCGAGUUUGGUCUAGUUGGUUUUGCAGAUGCAGGAUAUCUAUCGGACCCUCAUAAGUCUAGAUCACAAACUGGAUAUGUUUUUACCAUUGGAGGAACUGCAAUCUGGUGGCUUUCUCAAAAGAAAACGAUAGUAGCCACUUCAUCAAAUCACGCAGAGAUCAUUGCUCUUCAUGAAGCGUAUAGAGAAUGUGUAUGACUUAGAUCUAUGACUAACCAUAUUCAAGAAGCAAGUGGAUUAGUCAUCAAAAAAGAGCCAACAAGACUAUAUGAAGAUAAUGCUGCAUGUGUUGCUCAAAUCAAAGAAGGCUAUAUCAAGAGCGACAGAACAAAACAUAUUCCUCCAAGAUUCUUCUCCUACACUCAAGAACUCGAGAAGAAUAAGGAAGUCGACGUUCAGUACAUUCGUUCAAGUGACAAUGCAGAAGAUCUAUUCACAAAGGCGCUUCUAACUUCUACAUUUAGAAAGCAUGUUCAAAGUAUUGGAAUGCGUCAUCUACGAGACCUAUGAAGUCUUUUCCAGGGGGAGUAUGUGUUACUGUACUCUUUUUCCCUUAUCAUGGUUUUUAUCCCAAUGGGUUUUUCCAUGAUAAGGUUUUUAACGAGGCAGUACGUCAUACAUCUAUGGUGAUGAACACUUGUAAGACGUGAUCCUGAUUAUUUGAGGAGGAGCUUGCGAAGUUGCACUCUUUUAUCCUACCAAGGUUUUUCCCACUGGGUUUUCCUGGAAAGGUUUUUAACGAGGCAACAAGAAAUAUUACGCAAGAGACAAUAGUGACGCUGGUCUCCAAGGGGGAGUGUUAUGAAAAUCAAAUUCAACAAACAUUCCACUAAGAAGUCAAUGGUGUAAAAUCACCAACACUUCCCACUUAUAAAUGGAUGGUGUAAAACAUUUAUGUGGAGACCACCAUCACUAAACAUCUCUAUAUUUCUUCUCUAUAUAUACCAUCAAAUUCAUUGUAAAAUGUACACCAAAAAAGAUCACAACAAAAUCAAUGCAAAAACUCUCUCUAUUUUCUACUUCUCUCUUAUAUUGACACUUAUUUCUUAAGUUAUAAAAUCAUUCGAAAUACGUUUUCACAACAAAAAACUAUUUCUUUGCGUUUUUAGACUAACCGUUUUAUGU